rfam:Nomascus leucogenys chromosome 6, whole genome shotgun sequence.
GCCAGGUGUGGUGGUGUAUGCCUGUAGUCCCAGCUACUUGGGAGGCAGAGGUGGGAGGAUCGCUUGCGCCCAGGAGGUCAAGGCUGCAGUGAGCCAUGAUCAUGCCACUGCACUCCAGCCUGGGCAACAGAGUGAGACACUGUCUCAA